rnacentral:tRNA from 1 species
ACCUGGCUAGCUCAGUCAGUAGAGCAUGUGACUCUUGAUCUCGGGGUUGUGAGUUCCAGACCCACUUUGGGUG